rfam:Triticum aestivum genome assembly, contig: Triticum_aestivum_CS42_TGACv1_scaffold_320366_4BL
CUUGUACUCCCUUCGUCGGAAAAUACUUGUCAUUGAAAUGGAUGUAUCUAGAUGUAUUUUAGUUCUAGACACAUCCAUUUUGAUGACAAGUAAUUCCGGACGGAGGGAGUACUUG